GGCAACUAACGAUGCAAGAGGGUUAGUUGUGUUCCAUCUUGGUAGAGGUGAAGAGAAGACUUUACUGGUGGGCACGGGAGAGUGUUCCAGCUUCAUUUGGAGGUAAAAACUGGACGUUGCCGUGGAUGCCGGCGCUGAGCUUUGUACCACUACAGAUGCAGACAACAUCCUCCUUGAGGGUCUACCAUCUCGUCCGCCAUUGCUUCGGCCAGGACGUCACUUGGCGACUGAACUGUACUCAUCAUACCUUGCUCCAGAGGUGAUUGCUCAGGGCUCCUUUCACCCAAGUGAUCCUUCCUACGAUGGAAGCACUGCGAACCUCGGGACCCAAAACAGUCUGGUCGCUGGGACUUCUGCUCUUUGAAUUGUGUGCUGUAAGAACCACUAAUUACAAAUCUUGAUAAACUUGAUUUGUCAAGUUUGCAGACCCACCGAUCUUUUGUUUAAGGGUUGAAGACUGAAGUUCACUCUAACUCGCGGAUGUAUGGAUGACAUCGUCACUGUCCUCGCUGAGGGGCAUGGUUGCCUGGAAACCAUCAAGGCCGACCCCUGCUAAGCUGUUCGGGGACCCGGUGUUCGAUGGUGUGUCUCACCUCUACAUGCUGUUCAAAAGCCGAUCAAAGUGGACAUCUCGCGGUGCGCCAGUAUGAUGAGUAGCUGUCGUCUCCAAAUGGUCGCGUCAAGUUCAGGCGGGUCUUGAAAGCCUGGGUGGUCUCCCAUCCCGACAUUGUCUACUGGCAGGUUGUACGCCAUUCCCUGGUUCCUGACCAUGUUCACACGUAAGUUAAGCUCUUUUUUUGUCCCACAGUGUGGCUGUGAUGUGGCAGUGAGCACAGUCCAUUAGCAUCAGUGGAUGCUGUGAGAGUCUGCUUCCAUUAACGGAGCAAUGAGUAAAUGAGACUGAAAAGGUCAGUGGCUCCGGUGGGGAUAAGUUAAGCUUCUUUAUUGGCUGAUUUAUGCAUAUUUUGUGGACCUUUCUUCAAGCUACCUGGGGAAAGAUCAACAGCCCUCAAGAUGCUCAUGAGCACAUUUGAAUUGAUCUUCUUUAAAGCUAAUCUCUAUUAAUGAGGGACGGCUGUAUAUCUAAUAUAUAACAAUAAACUGUGUUUUUACAGUACAGUACAAUCGAGCUUCUGUGAAGAUCCAUGGUUUGGUUCUAGAACACACUGCUCAGAAGAAGUCUCCUAAGAAGAUACUCCCUGAGAUGGGCUCCAGUCCAUAAGGCUCCAAAGGGUAUCGACAAGUAUCGACAAAUACAAUGGGUAUUAUUGCUUUUUCAAAUGUGAAGCCACUUGUUCUGCUUAGAUGACCAACAGAGGAGUUGGCGAGGCUUUAUGACGUCCCACAGCGCUCGUCAUAGUUGUCCAACACUUUGAAGGCCUGGAACAUAUUGGUCAUUGUGAAGUGUGAUGAAGCGGCACAAAGCCACACACAGAGGAACAUGCGAGAGCUUCUUUUUCAACUGCAGCCAGCAAGAGUCCAUGGAGGUUUGUCUUUCCAUCAGCACUCUCCCCACCCAAAAAAUGUUCUUGCCCAUCUUGACAUGUUUUUCCAAGUAAUGCUGUUGACCAUUUGCGUUUGUUUUUUUUAUUCCAAAUUCCAACCGGUUGCAUGCAGGUGGUUUCCCAUGAUGGAAAUAUGUGAAAAGGUCCAGGAUUUUCAGAACAUGAAUUCAACUUUGACAUUAGUUAUUGAGGCUAUUCAUCAAAUCUUGGGACUUUUAAAAGUGAAAUCACCUCUGUUUGGAUGCUGUUCAGAAUGAGUGGGGUCAUUGCUGUAACAAUGAGAGGUACCUGAGCAAUCAAGAAAAAUUUACAAUUUUGACCUCGAACACCUCACGACUUAAAAAUUUGGAUAUUGAAGAUAGGAUUAAAACCUUGUAACUUUAAUCAAGUUUGGCUUACGUUUAUGACAGGUCCUGAAAAUGACUCGGUCAUCUUUGGCCAGCUACCAUUCAAAAUAAGGUCUUCUGGCUGAGUUAUAAGGUAACAAUGUUGGAAAAUGUGAACAAACUGAGUUUCAGUUUCAACACUUGCCUAAAAAAACAGAUGGUUUGGCUCCAGAUGCUUGCUUCAUGAUUGUUUUAGAAUUUAGAAUCAGAAUGUCUGGUUGUCAUAGUUCCAAAGGCACCAAAUUCAUUUAGAUCAGUUAUAUCUGAUGAGUUGUUUGGGUUUUUCCCCUCCCCACUAACCUCCCCAUUUCUUCUCAUUUCCAGUGUGAGGGCCAGGGGAAAGAAAAUAUUGAUGAUAGUUGCAGCUGGAUCUAGCUAGGUAGAUUGGACCUCCAGACCACAGUGGACCACCCUCCUAAUUGAAGCUUAUAGAUUACUGUCGAUGUAGAGAAUGUAGACAUCCAUCAUCUCAUAUGAACAAAUGUACUGUUAAUUAUCAAUACUUAAGCGAGCCAUAGUAUUUCACUUUUUUUUUCCUCAUCGUGAUGAAAUCCAUUUUCAAGAGUAGCCAUCGUUUAUUGCAGCUUGUUGCAAUCUCAGGAGGUUCUGAUUCUGCUGCUGGACGAGUGCGCCAAUCAUUGCAAGUCUCUCAGCAUCCAUGCCAAAUUCUGGUCCCCCUCUGACACCUCCAUACCAACGCCAAACCGAAGUUCAUCACCGCAAUGGAUCGCUGCUUCAACGCCUGACACCGUUCCAGCAAUCCCGUGUCUGCACAUAAAACGCUUACUACCGCUCCACCAAAGUUUUGUGCAACGUUUAAUCACCGCCCGGGCAAAGCUGGCGAAUCAGCAGUGGUCCAGCGUUCAAGAUUUCUGCGUUGGCGUAGCGGACCCAAGCGUCCACGAACUUGCGUCUAGCGGCGCCAAACUGACUGACUGGGCGUUGUUGGAGCGGUGAUGAAGUUUGCCAUGGCGGAAGAUUGCCCGCUCCCCGCCACUCGAAAUAUUUUGUGCAGCUCAAAACUUUCGGAGCGGUAGGAGGGACCAUCAGCGGUGGCCGAGCGUAUACGGCAUUGUCUUAAUGGGGGCCAACUUCUGUCAAUCGGUGGUGAACGGCUACGAGCGGUGAUUAAUUUUUUUCACCAUUCCAGGAACGCUACAGCAAAGUUCGGGCGGUGUGACCGGGGCUUAAGGAAGAAAAAAAAUCCAAACCUACAUGGCCCUGUGUGAAAAAGUGAUUGUUUCCUAAGCCUAAUAACUGGUAUAUAUGGUCAAGUUUUCUCACUAUGUUGACUUAAAUUAUGAAGCAUGAUUCCGCACAUAAAUGUCUUAAUGUCUUAUUUCUUAUUGGAAGCUUUCUAUAGCAGCCUGAGUGGGCAUGUGAACCAAGGAGUCUAGAGUUAAAACAGGAGCGCCGAUCGGCAUCCACUUUCAUACUAUGCCCUGCGCAGAUUUGGCCGCUAUUAUGGUGCGCAGAAUCCAGAAACUAUGCAUUGAAAACAUGUCCUCAGUACACUGCUCAGCUAUUAAUUGCUCUAAUCGACGGUCCAAAAGCAGUGGCGGAGUUACUGAGUGGCCAGUGGUGUCCGGCCACCCCACUGGCCUUCUAGACCACAGGUGUCAAACUCAAGGCUCGCGGGCCAAAUGUGGCCCGCGAGAGCAAUUAAAUAGGUCAAAAGCGUGCUUUGAUGAAAAACUACAUUUCUCACAAUGCCUAUCGACUACAAUACGAAGUGAUGGCUUACUGCCACUAAACGGCAGUGUCUCCACAUCAAUGCCAACGAGUUGAAUUGACAAAUAAUGAUCCCAAAAUGUCCAGGGAAAGAAAAGUUGACACUAAAGACCAUUUCAAGAAAGAUGGGAAGGGGGGGUACUUGUCUGUGCUUCAAGGAGAAAGACUGGUAUGUCUUUUCUGUUACGAAGCGGUGUCGGUUAUUAGAGUACAAUCUGCAUCGGCAUUUUGACACUAAACACGGAGCUAAGUAGGCCAAAGCUAGCCUUCAAAAAAAGCAACAAAUUGCCCAAGAAUUAGAAGGCAAACUGCGGUUGCAGCAGAGUGUGGUCAUGAAAUCCACAGCCAAAAACAAUGCGGCAGUGGAAGCUAGCUUUAUUGUGGCUGAAGAAAUUGCCCACGCUUCCAAGUCUUUUUCAGAGGGAGCGUUUUUUUGAAGCAGUGCAUGCUGAAGGUCUGUGAUUUGGUGUGUCCCGACCAAUUACAGACUUUUAAAAAAUAUCAGUUUUUAGGUUAGUUACUAACCUAAAAACUUGACCAAUAUACUGAGUCAACUUUUAUUUUGUAAUUUUUUGUUGAUUACAUAUUAUAUGUAGCUGCUGUUGCAAUUAUUUAGUAUUUGCAGGUAUUAUGUUUGCAUGCAGACAAAUUAUUGUAGUCAAACCAUCAGUUGGAUGCAAGACUGUGUGCAGCCUUUUUUUUGUAAAAUGCUACAUCUGUCAUUCAUGUUGUUAGCAGCUCACAAUUGUUGAUUCUAUUCCAUUUUAACUUUGACAUAAGCGUUUGGAACAAAGUUAAUGUCAUCACUUGUGUUUUAUGCUAUUUUUCUUAAUUCACUUGAAUAGUUUGAUCCUUGACUGAUGGAGUCGUGUGGGUUUCAUAAGUUGAUGAAUUCAAAUGAUUUAUGUUAUAACUGAGCAACAAGUAAAGAUAUUUUUUUCUAUGCAACUGUAAUGUUUGUCACCUGAAUAAGUAAUACAUGUAGAGUUAUUUAACAUUAAGGAGUUGUUACGCUUAUUUUACAUUGCAUUCCAUUACAUUUAGUUUUAUUUAUAAGUUACAUCUGGCCCACUGAGGACAGCCAUUAUGUCGAUGUGGCCCUAAGUGAAAAUGAGUUUGACACCCCUGAUCUAGACAAUUCAGGUAUCAGCUUAUUGCCACCCCUAUGUGAGUAAUGGUCUCACCUUGGCCACCCCAAUGAAAAAUUUCUGGCUCCGCCACUAACUAUUGGGGCAAAAUCUCAAUAUACAGUAAUGCAGUAUAACGGUAGACCUGCACCAUCCACCACAACUUCAGUAAUAACAUAUACAAGUAGUCGAAUUAUUACAUUCUGACAAUGAAAAUAAAAACUGAGCAUGUAGAAGCUUAACCAAAAGUUUUUUGUACAUACAGUACAGAUCUGGAAAUUUGACAAUGUUGAAUAACUUCCUCUUGUAUGCCGUGCCAACAGGGCCUUCUUCACUAAAGGAUACACUCGGAGGAUUUAACUGUGAUCACUUGUUCAACAGGGCAGUUAUGGUUUUGACAUGUGCUGUGGAGAAUCUUUUUAGUAACAGGUGCAGAUGCUGCGCGAGUAAUAAAUUGAAGCUUCCCUCCAAUGUCAUCAAUACAUCACAUUGAAUAUACAGUCUUAUUCUGGGGUGCUCAACGCUAUUUUCAGCCUGCGAGCUACUUUUAAAACGAGUCCCAAAGAUCUACCUCCUACCAUAAUAUAUAUCUAAACGGUAAACUUUUAUAAACUGUUGUACUAAAUACUCUAGGAACUAAAUACUAAUGAUCAAUAUGUCACAUUCACAGUUACAAAGUAGCAUAACCUGAGUACCGAUAAUGUCAGUCAAAAUAGCUAUGUAGUGUUCAUUAGACACACGGUUCAUGUAUUACAACCAGUUAGCAUUUGCUAUCAAACAUUACCGAUGUGAAAUGAGAAUGAUUAUGGAAAAGACAAAAAGGCACUGCAGGUGAAGUCAAGGCAAUAUAUUAAAAAGCCUUUAGCAACGGGCACAUUUUCCAAUGCAUCAUAAAAUAGUUUAAGAAAAGGGAAGAGUAGGGAAAAACGUGAUUGUAUAGUGGAGUUUUUUUUUAACUUUUUAGAUAUAGGCAUCUGGCCGCUGACUUAGUUUAUCCAUAAUAGAAUUAAGAAAGAUGAAAGUUAAAUCUGUGUGUGGUUUCAGACGUGACGUUCACCAUUGCCGCAGGGCAGCAAGAGCGAAUCAGGAGGGGAGCUUAAUGUCAGCUGAUUGAUGUCAUAUGACAUCUACAUGGUGACGUUUAUGCAGUCGACCCCAACUACAUUUGCGAUCGACCGGUAGCUUGCGAUUGUAAUGGCCACCCCGGUCUAAUUUAAGCAAUAAGGAGCCAGGCUCAACAAUAAUCUCGACUUAAGUCUUCACCCUCUUAGGACAAAUGUUUCAUCAGAAGUAACUUCUUUCAAACUACUAUCCUUUGUUACCUCUGGAAUACAGUAUUUUUAAAAUCUUCAAUGCAAUGAGGAUUGUGCUUCCUACUUUUGUGUGAGGCAAAAGGUGAAUAUACACUGCUCAAAAAAAUUAGAGGAACACUUCAAAAACACAUCAGAUCUAAACGGGGGGAAAAAUGAUCUUGAAUAUCU